rnacentral:rRNA from 1 species
GACGAACGCUGGCGGCGUGCUUAACACAUGCCAGUCGAACGGAAAGGCCCUGCUUUUGUGGGGUGCUCGAGUGGCGAACGGGUGAGUAACACGUGAGUAACCUGCCCUUGACUUUGGGAUAACUUCAGGAAACUGGGGCUAAUACCGGAUAGGAGCUCCUGCUGCAUGGUGGGGGUUGGAAAGUUUCGGCGGUUGGGGAUGGACUCGCGGCUUAUCAGCUUGUUGGUGGGGUAGUGGCUUACCAAGGCUUUGACGGGUAGCCGGCCUGAGAGGGUGACCGGCCACAUUGGGACUGAGAUACGGCCCAGACUCCUACGGGAGGCAGCAGUGGGGAAUAUUGCACAAUGGGCGGAAGCCUGAUGCAGCAACGCCGCGUGCGGGAUGACGGCCUUCGGGUUGUAAACCGCUUUCGCCUGUGACGAAGCGUGAGUGACGGUAAGGGGUAAAGAAGCACCGGCUAACUACGUG